rnacentral:lncRNA from 1 species
CAAAGUCUUUAUUACAGGAAAGCAAAUAGCUCCCAGGGCUGCUGGAAGAGGGGAGAAGAACCCCCACUCUCUAUUGUCCUAUAGGGGUUUUUAUCCCUUAAAGAUAGGGGGGGUGAACCCCUCAGUGUUGGCAUAUCAAUAACUUCUACAUUUCUGUACCCACUUUGACCUCCUGAUGUGUCUUGGUAUUGCAGUUUGGAAGCUCUGCCCUAAGAGCUGAGAAAGGAGGCCAUGCCAGGAAGCUGCUGACUUUAGGGAAAAGGGCAAUAGGCUGUAUACAAGCUGAUUGGUUGGUCUAACUCUAAGCUGAUAAAAUUUCGUAUGCCUCAGGAGUUCCUGUGGUGGCGCAGCUGUAAUGAACCCGACUAGUAUCCAGGAGGACACAGGUUUGAUCCCUGGCCCUGCUCAGUAGGUCAAGGACCCAGCCUUCCCUUGAAAUGUGAUUCGGACCCAGCAUUGCUGCGGUUGUAGCAUAGGCUGGUAGCUACAGCUCUGAUUUGACCCCCAGCUUGGGAACUUCCACAUGCAGUGGGUGCAGCCCUCAAAAAAAAAAAAAAAAAUGCGCAUGCCUGUAGCAGAUAAGUCAUGCACUGAGAUGGCAAUAAUUUUCCACUCAAAUGCCAACUGCUUGAUUGAUAACAGCUGCUUGGAGAGUUUUGUUGAGAAACAUUCUCAGGCUUUGUCUAGGCUCUGUCAGAAAUAUUGCUGGACUGAUUAAUGACAUCUACCAUGGGUGCAGUAGCAGAGAGUAGCAUUAUUAGAUGACCCAGACUAUCAAGAUGAUUGUACAACAUAUACUCUGCAAGCAUUUCUUUAAAACUAUUUUAUGAAUAGAACUACAAGCUUUAUAUCCUGGAUUUGUUGUAUGGUUUUGGUUACAAAUAAUUCAGAUGACAAUACUACCUUAAUCCUUUUUGUAAAUCUCUUGUCUGACUGCAUGCUUUUAAUGUAGUUGCCUAUUUCCAUUGAUUUAUCUUUUCCUAUUAAUCAGGUAAUCUCUAGUUUAUUUAAUUCCCAUUUAUAUUUUACUUUUAAGUAGAGAUUAAGAAGCAACCUCAAAAUAAGACACAGAUGAACACAGCCUUGGUCUUAGGGGGUGGGUGGAUGUGUGCAUCUCCAGUGAGCUCUGCACAGGAGUUUCUGCAACACUGAAGACAGGCCAGGGUCAGUGUUAACAGCCCCUUGCUCCUAUGCUUGUCACCUCAGAAAGACUGACAGUAAUGCCACUUGAAAAUCACUCAUCUCUGUGACUUAGGGAGGAAAUCAGAUUAUCUGUAAUAAAAUACAAUUGAAGAAUUCACAGGAAUAAUGGAAAUUAAUCAGAUUUUUAUUUCUCUUUCCAAUACAAUUCACAAAUGUAUACUUCUUUUGAGUAUUUAAUGUCCAAUACAGUCCCCUUUCAUGUAAAGAAAAGGUAUAAUAUUUCAUUUGUUCAAAAGUAUGAAGAAUCAGUCCUUGUAUUGUUCAAAUAAAAAUAAUUUUUCUUUUAACGUACUUAGUAUCUGAAACAUAUCAACUGACAGCCUAGAAUACUUUCUCUUUCAAGAUUUAGCACUUUUAAUGCUGAAUUAGCUGCUAGAGCAUUACUCUAAAGAGACAGAACAAUAAAAAAAGAUGGAUAUAGCAGGAAAAUGGGCAAAGAAUUGAACAGGCUAUUCAUAGAACAAGUAAUGCAAAUGGCUACUAAACUUAAACAUACCUUGCUUGUCAUCAAAGAAAUGUGUAUUGAAAGAAAUCAUCUUUGGAAAUGCUUAAAAUAAAAUGAUAUUUGAAUUCAGGAAGCAGGCACUUUCCAAAGGGGUGUAAUCUUCCCAGAAGCUAAUUUGAAAAUACACAUAAAUACAUUUAAGGGUCAUACAGUUCAAUCCAGCAGUUCCUUUACUGGAAGCAUACACUAGGAAAACUUCCCUAAAGGCCGUGCUUAUAAUUUUUUCUUUUCUUUUUUCCUUUUUAUGGUCACACAUGUGACAUAUGGAAGUUCCCAGUCUAGGGGUUGAAUCAGAGCUGCAGCUGCAGACCUACACCAUAACCACAGCAACACCAGAUCUGAGCUGCAUCUGUGACCAGUGCUGCAGCUUGCAACAAUGCCAGAUUCUUAACCCACUGAGAAAGGCCAGGGAUUGAAACUGCAUCCUCACAGAUACUAUGGCAGGUUCUUAAAGCAGGUAGUAGAAUGUGAAAACAUUACAAUGUGGACUAUUCAGUACUUUCCUCAUCUGUACAUUAUAGAAGAGACAGGAAAUUGGAGGAAUAUAGAGAAUUGAUGCAACAAGUGCUUGGAAAAAGUAGAAAUAAUAAAAGUAGCAGAAGCAUCAAGAAUUAAGAAUGAAGGUGUCCAGCACAUUAAGUUCACAAUCCUGCUGAGGAUCAGGUCUGUGGCUAUGCUUUUACUCCCUCUGUCUAACUAGUUAGUGUCUUUCUAUUGUUCCAUCACCAGGAAAUCUAAUUUGCAUAUGAUUCUGCUGCACAGAGAAGAGGUCCUCAGUGG